rnacentral:rRNA from 1 species
UGAGGCGCGAAAGCGUGGGGAGCAAACAGGAUUAGAUACCCUGGUAGUCCACGCUGUAAACGAUGGAUACUAGGUGUGCGGGGACUGACCCCCUGCGUGCCGCAGUUAACACAAUAAGUAUCCCACCUGGGGAGUACGAUCGCAAGGUUGAAACUCAAAGGAAUUGACGGGGGCCCGCACAAGCGGUGGAUUAUGUGGUUUAAUUCGAAGCAACGCGAAGAACCUUACCAGGGCUUGACAUCCUACUAACGAGAUAGAGAUAUGUUAGGUGCCCUUCGGGGAAAGUAGAGACAGGUGGUGCAUGGUUGUCGUCAGCUCGUGUCGUGAGAUGUUGGGUUAAGUCCCGCAACGAGCGCAACCCCUAUUGUUAGUUGCUACGCAAGAGCACUCUAGCGAGACUGCCGUUGACAAAACGGAGGAAGGCGGGGACGACGUCAAAUCAUCAUGCCCCUUAUGUCCCGGGCUACACACGUAAUACAAUGGCGGUCAACAGAGGGAAGCAAAGCCGCGAGGCAGAGCAAACCCCUAAAAGCCGUCUCAGUUCGGAUUGCAGGCUGCAACUCGCCUGCAUGAAGUUGGAAUUGCUAGUAAUCGUGGAUCAGCAUGCCACGGUGAAUACGUUCCCGGGCCUUGUACACACCGCCCGUCACACCAUGAGAGCCGGGGGGACCCGAAGUCGGUAGUCUAACCGCAAGGAGGACGCCGCCGAAGGUAAAACUGGUGAUUGGGGUGAAGUCGUAACAAGGUAGCCGUAGGAGAACCUGCGGCUG